rnacentral:rRNA from 1 species
AGUCGAGCGAGCUUGCCUAGAUGAGUUUGGUGCUUGCACCAGAUGAAACUAGAUACAAGCGAGCGGCGGACGGGUGAGUAACACGUGGGUAACCUGCCCAAGAGACUGGGAUAACACCUGGAAACAGAUGCUAAUACCGGAUAACAACACUAGACGCAUGUCUAGAGUUUAAAAGAUGGUUCUGCUAUCACUCUUGGAUGGACCUGCGGUGCAUUAGCUAGUUGGUAAGGUAACGGCUUACCAAGGCAAUGAUGCAUAGCCGAGUUGAGAGACUGAUCGGCCACAUUGGGACUGAGACACGGCCCAAACUCCUACGGGAGGCAGCAGUAGGGAAUCUUCCACAAUGGACGCAAGUCUGAUGGAGCAACGCCGCGUGAGUGAAGAAGGGUUUCGGCUCGUAAAGCUCUGUUGGUAGUGAAGAAAGAUAGAGGUAGUAACUGGCCUUUAUUUGACGGUAAUUACUUAGAAAGUCACGGCUAACUACGUGCCAGCAGCCGCGGUAAUACGUAGGUGGCAAGCGUUGUCCGGAUUUAUUGGGCGUAAAGCGAGUGCAGGCGGUUCAAUAAGUCUGAUGUGAAAGCCUUCGGCUCAACCGGAGAAUUGCAUCAGAAACUGUUGAACUUGAGUGCAGAAGAGGAGAGUGGAACUCCAUGUGUAGCGGUGGAAUGCGUAGAUAUAUGGAAGAACACCAGUGGCGAAGGCGGCUCUCUGGUCUGCAACUGACGCUGAGGCUCGAAAGCAUGGGUAGCGAACAGGAUUAGAUACCCUGGUAGUCCAUGCCGUANACGAUGAGUGCUAAGUGUUGGGAGGUUUCCGCCUCUCAGUGCUGCAGCUAACGCAUUAAGCACUCCGC